UAACCCUACUUUUAACAAAUAUUAUUAUGAUGCGCAUACUUAAAAAGGAAUUUUAAUGUUUGAAGAGGAUUUUUGAAAGUCACAAUGUCUAUAUACAAACAAAUUAUUAUUUGAGGAGUAUAGUUGAGUAUGAUCAUAUACAAAAACCAGCGUUCACUGAAAAAAUAUUUCAAAGGCGACAUAGUAUCAAAAAAAAUUGUCGAUACUGAAUAAUGUCUUUAUUUCGAUGAUACCAUCGAACUUAGUCGGAUGUUUGAAAAUAAAAACCAUCCACUUUGAUUAAUUUUUAAAUCAGAUCUGAUAUUGGUAAAUUCAAUACACCAACUAUACACGAAGUACUGUCACAUACAUCAGUUUUACCUGAUCAAAAUUCAUUCUAUUGGAACCUUUUUGUAAAUGAAAAGUAGGAAUAAAGAUUGUAACGCGAAGAAGAUCAAGAAGACGUACGAACCCAUUAUAGUCUGUAACAACAAAAUCGAAUAAUUAUUAUUCCAGUUAAUCACAUCAUGUAUAAACGUUUUCAUCCUAAAUUUUGUUCCUUUUUACUCUUUUUUCAAACACAUACUUGUUUAAUGUUUAUAUAAACAAUGUUUUGGAUUAAUGUUAUUAAAAACACAAUUGCACUAAUUUAUUUAAAAAACUAACAAGAUCACAAGAGAUAUUGGAAAAAAACAUGGCAUGAAGUAUAGUAAAAAAUGAAAAAGAAUGGGCAAAUUUUAUUUAUGGAAAAAAAAGAAGGAACUUAUCUUGUCUUUGGGUAGACAGGACUAACAAAUCUAAAACUCAAAGAUGAUUUAAAAAGUCUAAUACUUUUUUUUAAUUGGAAGUUAUUAAUUUCAAUUAUUAUGUUUAUUAACUAAUCUAGUUCUUGGUAUUUUUUUAUAUAUAUUUUUUCUCGGGUUCACCUUAAAGAAAUACCACAGUAAAUGAUUGUUCAAUUUCAUUAAUUGUAGCUUCAGAAAUAUUUUCAACUUCCUCAAUCAAAAGUGGCUUUUUUUCUAUAAGCAGGAAAGAAGUAUGACCUCGUUACAAAUCUCAAUUUCCUGUACAUUUUUUUUAAUUAGACGUAUUGGUCUUAUCGCCUUGUUUCUAAAUAUAUGAUUUAUUGCCAAGUUAAUUUUAUCAACCUUCACUUUUCCUUAUAAUUCGAAGGUCGUUUGAAUUAAAACCGCUAAUAAAAAUUCAUUUUGUGACGUGAACAUAAAAAAAAUUAAAUUUAUUCUAUUUAAAAUACCAAUAAAAAGCAAAAAACUCUUUAAUAGAAAUUUUCUUUACAUUGUAGAAUUCUUUAAACACUGUCCUGCAUUACUCCGUUUUUUGUUAUAUAUAGGGUUUAAUAGAAAUAUUAGCAAUUAUUCAAAACACCCUGUGGAAUGAAUCGUUAACGGACUACAAUAUUUACUUAAACUCGAAUGUUAUCUCAUAUUUUUUGAAUAAUUCCAUUUUUCAUUCAUUAUUUUAAAUUAUUAAAUAAAUUAUAGCGCUUAUGAUCCCGAAGAAUCAAUUUAGAACAAAAAUUACUGAAAUUAAACUUCAUUGGAUUUUGUCUGAUUCCCCUUUGAUACUUUGACUGCCAAGGCAAUUUUCAAAAUUUGAUUCAAUCAUAUUAUAUCAUCAAAAGCACUAACUUAAAUAAAAAGUUAGGUUAGGUUAGUUAUCACGAAAAGGACAACAAACUUUCUCGAACUAUUUGGCAGUUAACGUGUUAAAGUUACUAAUAUUAGUAUUUAAAAAUCAAAAAGCCACAUUUUUUUGUUUCAAAUUUUGUACAUCUUAAUAUAUUGAAAAUAACAUUACUUACACUAAGGGGCAAGAACGCCAAACCUACGAUGAAGUUAGCUGUCCAAUUAAUACCAACAGCCAAUGAGGUAGCAGUAGGACGGGCAGAUUGGUUGAAUAAUUCAGAUACCAAGAACCAUGGAAUUGAACCGGGCCCAAUCGCGAACAUUAUAACAAAAAUCAAUACGAACAGUACACAGAAAAUUCCAGCUGUUGAUCCAGUAUCCUGAAACAAAAAACGUAGACGUUGUUGAAACCUUCAUUUUAGUAUAUUUUGAUUAUUAGUGUUAUUGAAAACAGGUUAUAUGUUUCAAAAGAAGAGAUGUUAUAGUCAAAAUGAAAUGUGGUCAAAAAAUUUUCAAAUAGCAGUUGCAAGUGUGAAUGUUUUCCUGCUUUUUAGACCACCACUAUAUUUCCUUUGGUGAGUGAAACAAUGUUUAUAAACAAAAAUGAAUUUAUUUGAGUUAAAAUAAGUUCCAAAAAAAUUUUAAAAUAUGUUUAUAGUGAUGUUUUAGUCUGCCGGUUAGACUACAACUACAUCCGCUUCAAUGAAAUCAAUUUUGCAGGUUAUGUCCCGAAAUAAGAAUCUUAACCAAAGAUUUAACACUCAACUCUUUAUUCAAGUUAAAAAAUAAUGCUAAUAAUCUCACAAAAUGUUAAAAUUUCUUUAAAAUGAUGAAGAUUGUUUUACAAAUAGUAUGAACAAUAAGGACGAAGACACACUUUGAUAUCAAAAACAGACAGUUGGUGCACUGGACCAUUUACAACGCUAUACACAAAGAAAUGUAUCAACGAUUUUCUUUGCAUCAAAUGUUUCUAAUUUAAUUUCAAUAAAACGAUUUUUUAAUUAC